UACGUAGGGUGCGAGCGUUGUCCGGAAUUAUUGGGCGUAAAGAGCUCGUAGGCGGCUUGUCGCGUCGGAUGUGAAAGCCCGGGGCUUAACUCCGGGUCUGCAUUCGAUACGGGCAGGCUAGAGUGCGGUAGGGGAGACUGGAAUUCCUGGUGUAGCGGUGAAAUGCGCAGAUAUCAGGAGGAACACCGGUGGCGAAGGCGGGUCUCUGGGCCGAUACUGACGCUGAGGAGCGAAAGCUAGGGGAGCAAACGGG
rnacentral:rRNA from 1 species